CGUUGUGUUUGCACGCUCUUCACCCUGCUCCUGCCCACUCUGCUUGUCACCUGCCCCCGAUAACCCCAUCAGUCUUGAAAGAUCCUUAGUGCCUGGAUUUUGUCAUCCAGCCCUGCAGGAUGCUCCCCUUUGUCCUGAGGAAGAUAUGGUGCCAUUCCAUGGAGGUGGACACCCCCCACCUGCCCGGGUGGGCUGGAGCUCUGUGGGGAUGGAGUGGGACAGGAACCCCACUCUGAGGUUUUGCUACCUCUGCAGGCUGUCCCAGACAGAGAGGAGGUGAUGGAGGUGGAUACAGAGAUUGAUAGAGAGGAGGACAUGGAGAUGGAUGGAGAAGACACCGGCGAGGAGGAGAUGGAGGUGGAGGUGGUUGUGGAAGAGGAGAUGGAAUUGGAUGAGGAAGAGUCCAUUGAUGACAUGGAUAUUGAUUAAUAAGGUGCGAUGGACAGCACAGACAGAGACACCAUCUUUGUGUAUAUAUGUUCUAUAAUUUGUUGUUGUUCUUUAGAAUGUAGAUUGUAGGGCUAUUUUUGACGUCUGUAAAUACGUUUCCCAUAGUUUUGUUAGGUAGGUUUUUAUGUAUAUAUGUUCUAUCGAUUGUUGUUGUUACAAAUAUUCUUACAAUGUAAAUGUAUUCUGCAUUUUUGCUGCUGUUUUUCUGUAAUAAACAAAUUUUAUUUUUCA